AUUGAACGCUGGCGGCAGGCCUAACACAUGCAAGUCGAACGGUAACAGGAAGCAGCUUGCUGCUUUGCUGACGAGUGGCGGACGGGUGAGUAAUGUCUGGGAAACUGCCUGAUGGAGGGGGAUAACUACUGGAAACGGUAGCUAAUACCGCAUAACGUCGCAAGACCAAAGAGGGGGACCUUCGGGCCUCUUGCCAUCGGAUGUGCCCAGAUGGGAUUAGCUAGUAGGUGGGGUAACGGCUCACCUAGGCGACGAUCCCUAGCUGGUCUGAGAGGAUGACCAGCAACACGGGAACUGAGACGCGGUCCAGAAUCCUACGUGAGGCAGCAGUGGGGAAUAUUGCACAAGGGGCGCAAGCCUGAUGCAGCAUGCCGCGUGUAUGAAGAAGGCCUUCGGGUUGUAAAGUACUUUCAGCGGGGAGGAAGGGAGUAAAGUUAAUACCUGUGCUCAUUGACGUUACCCGCAGAAGAAGCACCGGCUAACUCCGUG
rnacentral:rRNA from 1 species